AAUUCCAGACAGCUGUGAUUAUUUUUUACUUUUUGUCAUUUUUCAUCAACAACAGAGGACCAAUGAAAUGAGAACAUAAAUGUGAAAUCAUGGGCUCACUGAAAUGAAAAUGUCCAUGUACAGAUCCUCUGGAAAAAAAAAAGACUCCAAGAGUUAUAACUACUGUAGUAUAAACAUAGGAACUAAGUUAACUUGUACAUUUCUGUUGAUCACUCCGUUACGUUGCCUCAAAUAGUUUUAGAAGAAAAAAAUCCUUGUUUUCCACACUAUGUGUGUUGUUCCCAAAAGAAUGACUGUUUUGGUUCAGCAGUGAAGUCACUAUCCAUGAAAGACCUGUUUUGGCCAGUGAGAAAAGAACUACCCUGGAGAUGAAGAUGAUAAGUCUUGCUGGGUCUCUCAUCACUCAGAAGACUGUUCCAAGAAGGCCUUGCCAUUCCCUCAUUUUGUUCCUUCAUAAAAUGUGUCCUUUAGUUUCAAACAGAUCUUUAUAGUUCGUGCUUCAUCAAGUCUCUCCCCAUUCCUCCCAAUCUAUUUUUUUUUUUUUUUGGACUCUUCUUCAAAGAGCUUGCAGGUGAAGAUUUAAAAGACAGAACAGACAGAGCAGAAGCUUUCUUCCAGUAGUUCUGAGCCUUGGCUUUGGACAAAACAAAACUAAAAGUUGGGCAGCUUUCCUCAAUGAAAGAAGUUACUAAUGGUCUUUGCACCAAACCUAGGACUUUAUCAUGAACUCAAAGCUUGGGAAAAAAAAGCAAGAGAAUACUGUAACAAACUUCGUACAGAGUUCGGUCUAUUAAUUGUUUCAUGUUAGAUAUUCUAUGUGUUUACCUCAAUUGAAAAAAAAAAGAAUGUUUUUGCUAGUAUCAGAUCUGCUGUGGAAUUGGUAUUGUAUGUCCAUGAAUUCUUCCUUUCUCAGCACGUGUUCCUCACUAGAAGAAAAUGCUGUUACCUUUAAGCUUUGUCAAAAUUUACAUUAAAAUACUUGUAUGAGGACUGUGACGUUAUGUUUUAAAAAGAAAAAAAAAAGGUGUUAAGUCACAAAAUGCGGUAAUAAAUAUUUCAUUUUUGAUUUUUUGCUAGACUUUCGUGUUUUUAAUCAUGUUUAGCAGAGUCUGAAGUUAUCAUGAGAGAUGUCUCAAACACAUUUCCUAUCAGUAUUGAGAAGAAAGGCUGGAAAAAUCAGAAACAAGCUUGUCAUCGCAUUAAUAGAAUAAUUGAAUGAAAGACCAUCUGAGGUUAUAUAUCUCUGCUGAUUACUGAUAUCAGAUUUUUGCCAGAUUGAACAAAAUUUGAAAUAUUGUCUCACCAGCUUGCAUUUCAGAGAGAUAUGUCUAAUAUUUGUACUACCUGCUGAUAACAUAGAAGCUGAGUUUGAGUUGUGAAGGCGCAGGCAUGAGAUGAUUAAUCCCAUGUGUGUACAUGUAUGUGUGUGUACAUCCAUAACCACAGCAGACCAUAAUUCCAGGUAUUUAGCUCAGAGGCCAAGAAUGGCUUUAUUGCAGGAAUAGGUUUGGAAGUUUUAGGAGGAGAAAAGAGGCUUGGGCUCUAAUGGGAAUUUUUCAUAUGUGAGGACUGUAUAAGCUAGCUUUUGAGAUGGGUUUACUCCUUUUGUUGUCUUCAGCUGUUUUCAGAAAAAAACCCCAAACCAAAGCAACAAAGCAUCGGCUAAUGACAGAAAAUGUUGAUUUGACAUUUUGUAUACAAAUAGUUGGAGUAGAAGCAUGGUUAAAGGUUUGUUUUUUCUUAAGCAAAAGCUUCUGGCAUUUUGAAGGAACUAAAGGAGAGUUUGAACUAGGAAAACAUGAGCAAUGUUAGAAAAAGCAGCCUCUCACCUUCCUCAGUGGCACUGUUAAGUCAGCAAGAGUGGGAUGGGGCCCAAAGAGCAGGGGAAAGCCCUGCCUUUAUUCCUGGGAGGAGGGGAGUGGGAAAGGAUUUGUAAUUAACUUUCUAGGAAACAAAAAUUACCAACUUCAACAUCUGUAAAUUUGUAAACCUUCUCCACCUUCCUUCUCAUCGUUCCAACUGGACAGGGUGUCUUUAAAAACUUUGAGUGACAACUUUUACCCUUGGAAUGUGGAAAGAGGCUCAGCCUCAUAGUUAAUGUUUAAUUUCUGAGCUGAGCAAAUGGACCCACGCUGCUGGUGGCAGAAGGGAGGAUGCCAAUAGAAUGGGUGUGAGGAUUUAUUUAGCAAUCGGGUCCUGCUUUGUGGGCAUCUCUUAUAAGGCUUUCGUAUGAAAUUUAGAUUAUGAUUCCCUGCUCGGCUUUGAUGCUCUCUAUCCUGGUCAAAAUCACAUCAACCCUUCAAUCGCGUAAGAAGAGCACAGCAUGGGUGCCCAUUUCCAAAUUCUCUGAUUUUUGUGGAUGCAGAAUUUAAGAAGGCAAGAUUAUUUGUGUUAGCACCCUAAAGGGGAGGCUUUUAUUUUUAUUUUUUUAAAUCACUACUUUAUUUUCUUGCAGGUCUUUUCUCUAGAAUUUGAGAAGAAAUGUCAGAAAUCACAUUGGUAGAAGGAAAGGGAAGAAUUUAUCCAUAGCAGAUUAUUUGUUGUUAUAAUGAUCUAAAUAUGUGCAUUGCUGUGUUGUCUUUUACUUUCUUUCUUUUUUUCUCACCCUUUUGGGCUGUGCUUUCCAUGAGAUGUCUUGCUGAAAUCCAAGGUACAAUAUCGUGCAGAGAUUUCUCCGUCUGAGAUUUUCUGUUUAGCAUGGAAGGUUCCGAUUUUGGUAUUUUUAAGAACUGCUCAGCUGUCAAAAGCAAACAAAACGGGAAUAAUGUUUUGACAGCGGUAUAGUGUUAAAGAAAAUACUCGAGUCUGAAUAAAAAUUGCUUAUGCUGUGGGAAACGAAGGGUAACAGAAGAAACACCUUUUGUUUACAUACACGCAUGUUUAUAAUCCCAAAUUUCCAUUUCGCCGAGCGGGUCUGGGUUGGGAGUUGUAGUCACCAUAAAUGAGGGAUUUUUCUUCCAGAUUUUGCUGCCUUUAAGGCGAAGAGAGGAGGGGAGCGCACCUCCGGCAGCGCUGCCGCCCGAGCCCUGCCCGUCGCGGCGAGCGGGCACCGCAGGGCCGAAGAGGAGAUGCCGGGGGCAGCCGGGCGCUCCCCACCUUUCAUUCAUAGCCGCAGAGAGAGCGAGGGAGAGAAAAUUGCCCCAGACCAGGCUCGACCGCGUCCCCACGCCGCGCGGAGCGGCAGGAGAGGGUUCCGCUGCGCGGAGGGAUGGCUGCGCCCCACGUCUCCCCUACCACAUCCCUGAGUUCAGCCGAGAGGAAACGGGGCCGGCCUUUUAACUCUCCUGACAGCACUUGGGGAAAAAUCAACCCCGCCGGCGCUGCGCGGGAGCGAGCCAGCUCCGGGCUGGGGAGCCCAGCCGCUGUGGGCUGAGCAGGACCGGAUGGGAUGAGGGGCGGGUGGGGGCAAGGUUUGCAGGCAGAUUUUAAUAUUAAUAGUUUUGGUGGCGAGAAAGAGACAGACAGAAGGGAGGUUGCUCCUCUGGGCAGAGUCUCUGCGACAGUGAUGAUGGAUGACCCCGCACGGCUAAAUAACUCCUCCCCUUCAUCCCCACACGGUGUCAAAGCUACUUUACUUGCAGCUUUAGGAAUAAAAAAAAUUAAACACCUUCA